rnacentral:rRNA from 1 species
AUGAACGCUAGCUACAGGCUUAACACAUGCAAGUCGAGGGGAAACGAUAUUGGAAGCUUGCUUCCGAUAGGCGUCGACCGGCGCACGGGUGAGUAACGCGUAUCCAACCUGCCCACCACUUGGGGAUAACCUUGCGAAAGUAAGACUAAUACCCAAUGACGUCUCUAGAAGACAUCUGAAAGAGAUUAAAGAUUUAUCGGUGAUGGAUGGGGAUGCGUCUGAUUAGCUUGUUGGCGGGGUAACGGCCCACCAAGGCGACGAUCAGUAGGGGUUCUGAGAGGAAGGUCCCCCACAUUGGAACUGAGACACGGUCCAAACUCCUACGGGAGGCAGCAGUGAGGAAUAUUGGUCAAUGGACGAGAGUCUGAACCAGCCAAGUAGCGUGCAGGAUGACGGCCCUAUGGGUUGUAAACUGCUUUUAUAAGGGAAUAAAGUGAGUCUCGUGAGACUUUUUGCAUGUACCUUAUGAAUAAGGACCGGCUAAUUCCGUGCCAGCAGCCGCGGUAAUACGGAAGGUCCGGGCGUUAUCCGGAUUUAUUGGGUUUAAAGGGAGCGUAGGCCGGAGAUUAAGCGUGUUGUGAAAUGUAGAUGCUCAACAUCUGCACUGCAGCGCGAACUGGUUUCCUUGAGUACGCACAAAGUGGGCGGAAUUCGUGGUGUAGCGGUGAAAUGCUUAGAUAUCACGAAGAACUCCGAUUGCGAAGGCAGCUCACUGGAGCGCAACUGACGCUGAAGCUCGAAAGUGCGGGUAUCGAACAGGAUUAGAUACCCUGGUAGUCCGCACGGUAAACGAUGGAUGCCCGCUGUUGGUCUGAAUAGGUCAGCGGCCAAGCGAAAGCAUUAAGCAUCCCACCUGGGGAGUACGCCGGCAACGGUGAAACUCAAAGGAAUUGACGGGGGCCCGCACAAGCGGUGGAGUAUGUGGUUUAAUUCGACGCAACGCGAAGAACCUUACCAGGUCUUGACAUUGAUCGCGAUCUGCAGAAAUGCGGAGUUCUUCUUCGGAAGACGAGAAAACAGGUGGUGCACGGCUGUCGUCAGCUCGUGUCGUGAGAUGUUGGGUUAAGUCCCGCAACGAGCGCAACCCCUCUCCUUAGUUGCCAUCAGGUUAAGCUGGGCACUCUGGGGACACUGCCACCGUAAGGUGUGAGGAAGGUGGGGAUGACGUCAAAUCAGCACGGCCCUUACGUCCGGGGCUACACACGUGUUACAAUGGCAGGUACAGAGAGACGGUCCCUUGCAAAAUGGAUCAAAUCCUUAAAGCCUGUCUCAGUUCGGACUGGGGUCUGCAACCCGACCCCACGAAGCUGGAUUCGCUAGUAAUCGCGCAUCAGCCAUGGCGCGGUGAAUACGUUCCCGGGCCUUGUACACACCGCCCGUCAAGCCAUGAAAGCCGGGGGCGCCUAAAGUCCGUGACCGUAAGGAGCGGCCUAGGGCGAAACUGGUAAUUGGGGCU